rnacentral:rRNA from 1 species
UCCAGACUCCUACGGGAGGCAGCAGUGAGGAAUAUUGGUCAAUGGCCGCAGGGCUGAACCAGCCAAGUCGCGUGAGGGAUGACGGUCCUAUGGAUUGUAAACCUCUUUUGUCAGGGAGCAAAGGGCGCCACGUGUGGCGUUUUGCGAGUACCUGAAGAAAAAGCAUCGGCUAACUCCGUGCCAGCAGCCGCGGUAAUACGGAGGAUGCGAGCGUUAUCCGGAUUUAUUGGGUUUAAAGGGUGCGUAGGCGGGACCUUAAGUCAGCGGUAAAAUUGCGGUGCUCAACGCCGUAGAGCCGUUGAAACUGGGGUUCUUGAGUGAGCGAGAAGUAUGCGGAAUGCGUGGUGUAGCGGUGGAAUGCAUAGAUAUCACGCAGAACCCCGAUUGCGAAGGCAGCAUACCGGCGCUCAACUGACGCUCAUGCACGAAAGUGUGGGUAUCGAACAGGAUUAGAUACCCGGGUAG